CCUCAAAGAAAUUUGAACCCAGUAUCUCAGACCCUACCAAGCCCUAUCAUACGCUUGGUCUACUCCUGACACCCUGCUGUUUGUAGCCACCAUUGUC